CAAUUACAAGUUACUACAAAGUCGUUUCCGUCUGGUGGAAAUGGAAAACGACAAAACAAGCAGAGACACGGAUCUAUCCCACUUUCUACGACGGAAAGGAAACAUGUGACAAGCCAAGGAGCGCGGUUGGAUGAGAAGAAAGCCGGACCGUUAGCAAAACGGAGGAUUAAAAUGGAGUUGAUAGAGACCUGAGAACGGAUAACGUAUUAAAAUCUGCAGCGCUCGUAGUCAGAGAAGAUGGAUCAAAGAGAUCGCGAGCUUAUCGAUUGAACGGGAAGAAAAAAAAGUUUAAUAACUGCAAGUCGGUGUCGCGUUCUCUUCUCGUGGAAGAAAGAUAUAUUAAUUCAAUCUCUAAAAGAGUUUCAUUAUAGAUUAAAUCUUACGAAUAAAUGUUUUUGGAUUGCAAUAAUUGCUUGCAAAAGACAACACAUUUAAGACAGCACAUACAAUAGACAGUAUGUUAGUAUAUUAUUUUUUAAUGUUAAAAUAUUUAAAACUAUUGUCUCUUAAUCAAUAAAUAUAUAGAAAUGGUACUCUUCAUUUCAUAUAGUGUUCAGAAUAGGUAUGGCCUCCUUUCAAUAAAUUAUAACAUUAUUUUUUA